GCCUCACAAUAACCAAGAUGGCGUCAAGCGUAUUUAAAAAACUGGGUUCUGUGAUAAACAGACUGCAAGACAAACCGAACACGUUCAGCGCCAAGCCUUUGAUCCCCGUCAGAUACAAACAAGGCCGAGCCAGCGGCCUCAUCGAGUUUCUCAAAAACCACCCGCACAUGGUCAAGUUUCUCGUUGUGGUCACAGCAAUGGCCGUGAGUGGCGUGGAGAAGGGUAAAGAGGUGGCCCAUGUUUUGGAGAUGGUGGCUCCGUCACGGAGGAAUGACAUUCUCAUCCCGCACGGUCGACAAAGGGAGGAGGAUAUUCCCCUCAUUGAGGCGGGACGGGAGGCGGAGCAGCCACAAGACCCGGCCCCAAGCGGCGAGUCGUCAAAGAAUUAGCUGAGGUGGUCCCGUCUAGGUGAGCACCAAAAACAGCGGUUUAAAAUUGAGCAAGUUUCUGUUGGCCUUCAAUGUUGCGUGUUUGUCGUCCUUGGUUGCAUCAACUCGUCGAUGACCAUGUUGAUUUUCCAACAUCGGUUGAUCCCUAACAUCAGUUGAUAAUCAAAAUGUGUUGAUACCAAGCGUUGGAUACCUAAAUCGUGAUGAUAUUCAUCUUUGAUGUUGACAUCCCAGAGUGACAUUUAUGCGUCGCGGUAAUUUUUAUCCAAUGUAGAAAAAUGUUUUAGAAAUUUACUCUGGUAUCUUUUGUAAUGUAUGGUAACUAUUAGAAUUACAAUAAAUCUUUUCCUUUUUAAAAACAG